UACGUAGGGGGCAAGCGUUGUCCGGAAUUAUUGGGCGUAAAGCGCGUGUAGGCGGCUCGGUAAGUCUGCUGUGAAAGUCCAAGGCUCAACCUUGGAAAGCCGGUGGAUACUGUCGAGCUCGAGUCCGGAAGAGGCGAGUGGAAUUCCUGGUGUAGCGGUGAAAUGCGCAGAUAUCAGGAAGAACACCCGUGGCGAAGGCGGCUCUCUGGGACGGUACUGACGCUGAGACGCGAAAGCGUGGGGAGCGAACAGG
rnacentral:rRNA from 1 species